AGUAGGAAAUAUAAGAAAGUUUGUUAAAAGGUCAGUUAGGAUUUUUUUUUUUUUUUCAGCGUCGCUGAACCUCGAUGCGGAACUUGGUUGCACUCCCCCUGUCCUCGGCGAGGGACUUGGCGUGGAAGAUGGUCGGAUACCAGACUCUAGUCUGACCUCGUCAUCGAUCUAUUUUUCCAGCCAUGAAGCUUACAGAGGAAGGCUGAAUGAAGUUGCCGUUCCAAAGGAGUCCGAUGGAUGGGUAUCCGCCGGUGCAUGGAUCGCCGCCGUUGGAGACAACAAUAUGUGGAUAAAGGUCGAUCUCGGUGAGGAUACUCUGGUAACUGGUGUUAUCACACAGGGACGGUCCAUACUUAUCCAAAGGAUUACGUCAUUCCAAAUCUCCUACUCAAGUGACAAUACAAAUUGGACCUUUGCUCUGGAAGAGCAGUGUGGAGUACGCAAAACAUAUGCAGGAAACUUUGAUGCUGACACAUAUGUUACCAUAUUAUUUCCUGAGC
rnacentral:lncRNA from 15 species